rnacentral:rRNA from 1 species
AUACGUAGGGUGCAAGCGUUAAUCGGAAUUACUGGGCGUAAAGCGCGCGCAGGCGGUUUUGUAAGACGGUGGUGAAAUCCCCGGGCUCAACCUGGGAACUGCCAUUGUGACUGCAAGGCUGGAGUGCGGCAGAGAGGGAUGGAAUUCCGCGUGUAGCAGUGAAAUGCGUAGAUAUGCGGAGGAACACCGAUGGCGAAGGCAAUCCCCUGGGCCUGCACUGACGCUCAUGCACGAAAGCGUGGGGAGCAAACAGGAUUAGAUACCCUGGUAGUCCACGCCCUAAACGAUGUCAACUGGUUGUUGGGGAUUUAUUUUCUCAGUAACGAAGCUAACGCGUGAAGUGGACCGCCUGGGGAGUACGGCCGCAAGGUUAAAACUCAAAGGAAUUGACGGG